AUUACUUCUUGACCUUUGGGCUAAGAUCAAGUAUAGUAUCUGUUCUUAACAGUUUAAUAUUUGAUACGUCUAAUUUUUUUUUUCCCUCUAUCUAAGGACAACAUAUUAAAUGGAUUUUUGGAAUUGGGAGAUGGAAUAGGAGCUGGGUCUGUCCACUCUACUCAUCGACCUGGUAUUGCAGUACUUCCAGGAACAGUGCACCACCU
ensembl:snRNA U2 U2 spliceosomal RNA